rnacentral:rRNA from 1 species
AGAGUUUGAUCCUGGCUCAGAACGAACGCUGGCGGCGUGGAUUAGGCAUGCAAGUCGGACGAGAAUCCAUCGAUUCAAGUUUUCGGACGAGAAUUGAUGGUGGAAAGUGGCGAAAGGGUGAGUAACGCGUGGGUAAUUUGCCCUUAAGUCGGGGAUAGCUUCUGGAAACGGGAGGUAAUACCGGAUGUGGUCGGGAGUCGCAUGGCUCCUUGUCUAAAGGUGGGGAUUCUUCGGAACCUGCCGCUUAAGGAUGAACCCGCGUCCCAUCAGCUUGUUGGUAGGGUAACGGCCUACCAAGGCUCACGGGUAGCUGGUCUGAGAGGAUGGUCAGCCACACUGGGACUGAGACACUGCCCAGACUCCUACGGGAGGCUGCAGUCGAGAAUCAUUCGCAAUGCGCGAAAGCGUGACGAUGCGACGCCGCGUGUAGGAUGACGGCCUUCGGGUUGUAAACUACUGUCAGGAGGGAGUAAUGUUCGCGGGGCUAAUACCCUCGCGAAGUGAUAGUACCUCCAGAGGAAGCCACGGCUAACUCUGUGCCAGCAGCCGCGGUAAUACAGAGGUGGCGAGCGUUGUUCGGAUUUACUGGGCGUAAAGGGUGCGUAGGCGGUUUUGUGUGUCAGAUGUGAAAGCUCACUGCUCAACGGUGGAAAUGCAUCUGAAACUGCAGGACUAGAGUACGGGAGAGGAGAGCGGAAUUCACGGUGUAGCGGUGAAAUGCGUAGAUAUCGUGAGGAACGCCGGUGGCGAAGGCGGCUCUCUGGAACGUUACUGACGCUGAGGCACGAAAGUUGGGGUAGCAAACAGGAUUAGAUACCCUGGUAGUCCCAACCGUAAACGUUGUGCACUUGGUGUGGGAAGGUUUGUCCCUUUCUGUGCCGGAGUUAACGCAUUAAGUGCACCGCCUGGGGAGAACGGUCGCAAGGCUAAAACUCAAAGGAAUUGACGGGGGCCCGCACAAGCGGUGGAGCAUGUGGCUUAAUUCGAUGCAACGCGAAGAACCUUACCCAGGCUUGACAUGGAGACCCUUCGGGGGUGGGAAUGAAAGUUCCCUUUACUCACACAGGUGCUGCAUGGCUGUCGUCAGCUCGUGCCGUGAGGUGUUGGGUUAAGUCCCGCAACGAGCGCAACCCUUGUGUUUAGUUGCCAGCAGGUAAUGCUGGGCACUCUAGACAGACUGCCCGUGACAAGCGGGAGGAAGGUGGGGAUGACGUCAAGUCAGUAUGGUCCUUAUGCCUGGGGCUGCACACGUGCUACAAUGGUCGGUACAGAAGGAAGCAAAACCGCGAGGUCGAGCAAAUCCCCAAAACCGGCCCCAGUUCGGAUUGGAGUCUGCAACUCGACUCCAUGAAGCCGGAAUCGCUAGUAAAGGCGUAUCAGCUACGACGCCUUGAAUACGUUCCCGGGCCUUGUACACACCGCCCGUCACAUCACGAAAGCCGACUGCACCCGAAGUCGCUGCUCCAACCCGCAAGGGAGGAA